rnacentral:rRNA from 1 species
AGGACGAACGCUGGCGGCGUGCUUAACACAUGCAAGUCGAACGAGGUACAGGAGAGCUUGCUCGAAGGUAACCGAGUGGCGGACGGGUGAGUAACGCGUGAGGAACCUGUCUCACACAGGGGAAUAACGCAUCGAGAGAUGUGCUAAUACCGCAUAGGACCACGAAGUCGCAUGGCUUUGAGGUGAAAGGAGGAAUCCGGUGUGAGGUGGACUCGCGUCUGAUUAGAUAGUUGGUGAGGUAACGGCCCACCAAGUCAACGAUCAGUAGCCGACCUGAGAGGGUGAUCGGCCACAUUGGGACUGAGACACGGCCCAGACUCCUACGGGAGGCAGCAGUGGGGAAUAUUGGGCAAUGGGCGAAAGCCUGACCCAGCAACGCCGCGUGAAGGAAGAAGGUUUUCGGAUCGUAAACUUCUGUCCUAUGAGAAGAUAAUGACGGUAUCAUAGGAGGAAGCCCCGGCUAACUACGUGCCAGCCGCCGC